ACCAUCAUGCUUUUUAGAGGCCUCUGCUCUGCCAGCCUGGGAGUCAUCUUCACCCUCAGGCUGGUAGACUCCAGUCUCUUAGGUCAGAAUGGGAUUAGAGACCCGUUCCUGAACCAGUCACACACAGCGGGUGAAACUGCUAUGAUUGGUUUAGACUUAGAGACUGGAAUGGAUGCUGAUCCUUAGAAUAUACACAAAGUUUUCAUGGACCACACAUUAUGAAACACUGGAUUAGCGCAAAGUGAAAUGCUUCCAGAGUAGGAGCCACUAUUCUGAGGAAUCUUGGAAGAAAAAUCCCCAGAUAGCAGAUGACUGGUAGGAAGAUGAGGCAAGUUUGCGGUCCAUUGUCAUGGAUAGUGGAGACAACACUGGGCCAGAAGUGGUAAGACCUGAAUCCAAGACUCAGCUCUGCCACUUGCUAAAUGGGACUUUGAAUAAACCAUUUCUCUGCACUUAAGUUCCUUACCAACAAAACGAGGGAAGUGGCCUACAUGCCUAGAUAUCAACAUUUCAUGUCACGUAGAGAUCUAGCAUCACAAGAAUCCAAGUCAUCCUCUGUUGCCUUUAAGAAAUUAGAAUUAAAGGAAUCAGAAUUGAAGUGAAUCUGACUACACUAAGCCUAUCACUUGUGACAGCCAUGGGAAGAUAUCAUUGGUUGCUGAGGAGCAGAAAUAAGCAGAGACCUAUUGUGUUAGGUUAUCAUUCAUUUCAGGACACCAUGGUGUUCACCUUUCUACAACUUUACACUUGCUGAGGACAUAUUGUGGAAAAUUAAGAGAAAUAUAUAUGGAUGGCCAAGGCUGUAGAUGGAUGUCCAAGCCUUUUUACUGGGGAAUGUUUUCAGAACAAAAUGAGUUACAGGUUCAAGAGUGAAACCCAACAAAUCUUGGCUCUUUUUUUCUCUACUAAAUUCCAAAUCAAAA
rnacentral:lncRNA from 1 species